AAACUUUCAACAACGGAUCUCUUGGUUCUGGCAUCGAUGAAGAACGCAGCGAAAUGCGAUAAGUAGUGUGAAUUGCAGAAUUCAGUGAAUCAUCGAAUCUUUGAACGCACAUUGCGCCCUAUGGUUCUCCAUAGGGCAUGCCUGUUCGAGCGUCAUCU
rnacentral:rRNA from 1 species